GUAGGGUGCGAGCGUUAAUCGGAAUUACUGGGCGUAAAGCGUGCGCAGGCGGUUUUGUAAGACAGGCGUGAAAUCCCCGGGCUUAACCUGGGAACUGCGUUUGUGACUGCAAGGCUAGAGUAUGGCAGAGGGGGGUGGAAUUCCACGUGUAGCAGUGAAAUGCGUAGAGAUGUGGAGGAACACCGAUGGCGAAGGCAGCCCCCUGGGCCAAUACUGACGCUCAUGCACGAAAGCGUGGGGAGCAAAC
rnacentral:rRNA from 1 species